GUUGGUGCUGGCUGGCUCCACCACCCACGCGGGAGGCACUGUGAGGGGGAGAGCGUUAGAGUUCGGUGCCACGGCGGCCCUACAGAAUAACUUGGCACUGUAGGUUGCGAGAUUAGGGUGGUUAGAGUAGGUUAGUUGGGUAUUUGGAUUCUUCUGAAGGUUAAGAUUGGGGUUAGAACGCUUUUGAAUAGGUUAUAAUGCCGUAGAGGUUAUGCUGACACUGUAGGUUGUGAGGUUGGGGUAUUAGAGUAGGUUAGUUGGGUAUUUGGAUUCUUCUGAAGGUUAAGAUUGGGGUUAGAAUGCCCUUGAAUGGGUUAUAAUGCCGUAGAGGUUAUGCUGACCCUGUAGGUUGUGAGGUUGAGCGGCCUGACUUGCGUUAGUUUGAUAUAUUAGUUCUUGUAGUGGUUAAGUUUGGGGUUAUGAAGCUUUUGCAUGGGAACAGAGGAUGAGUUAGUACCGUACGUUGUGAGGUUGGGGUGCUUAUGAGGUGCCUAGUUAGGGUUGAUCUGAUAUGUUAGGUUUUUUUUAGGGUUAAGAUUGGGGGUUAGAGAGGUUUUGAUUGGGUUACGAUUCUCUAUAUGAUGGAUUAGCGCUAUACGUUGUGAGGUUAAGGUGUCUGGAUGAGGUUAGUUAGAUGUCCAGGUUAAUUGAAAGGUUAUGACUGAGAUUAAAAUUAGUUCUAUAAUGUUAUGAAACGGAUUAUUCUUUAUUAAACCGAUGACUGAAUGCGUAUGCCUGCCUACCUAUGUGUACCUCAUCCUACCUGUUCAAUUUGUGUUAGUUGAAAGAUUAGCAAAGUAAGGCAGCAGACGAAAUACAAAGUGGCUAUAACAGACCUUUUAAAAUAUAUCAGUCUUUUUUGUGACUCAUUAUAUUUUUACCACUUAAAGAAAAUUCGUAAAAACAUUGCCAUUCUUUUGCGAUAGAUUUUGUUUUCAUUACUUUAAAAAAAACACAAUAUUCGUCUAGGGCAAAAAAAAAAAUUAAAGCAUUGUGACGGAGAUCUAAUGAAUGUGACUUACGCUCCAUUAGUAAAUUUCCUCGUCUGUUAAUUGAAUUUGUGGCGCUGAUAAUUUUUGUAGUGACUUGUAAUAGAGGGAAUGACUGGCAACUAACUUUUUUUCUCUCUCUCUCUCUCUCUCUCUCUCUCUCUCUCUCUCUCUCUCUCUCUCUCUCUCUCUCUCUCUCUCUCUCUCUCUCUCUCUCUCUCUCUCUCUCUCUCUCUCUCUUUGCUAGGCCAUCAACACUUUGCUAUUCUUUAUUAACUCGAAAUAUGAUAGAUGUUGAUGUUCUGUCUAUUCUCUCGACUCUGUGCUCAUUAUUAAUCAACUCGAAAUAUGAUAGAUGUUGAUGUUCUGUCUAUUCUCUCGACUCUGUGCUCAUCAUUAUCUUGAGGUUCGGGUGCUUAUGAGGUGUCUAGUUAAGGUUGAUAUGAUAUGUUAGUUCUUUUAGAGGGUAAGAUUAGGGGUUGUGUUUGUUUUGAUUGGGUUAUGAUUCUCUAUAUGACGGGUUAGCGCUGUAGGUUGUGAGGUUAAGGAGUCUAGAUGGGGUUAGGUUGAUGUCUUGGUUAUUUCGAAGGUUAGAUGAUAGAUGUUGAUGUUUUGUCUACUCUCUCGAAUCUGCUCUUCUUUAUUAACUCGAAAUAUGAUGGAUGUUGAUGUUUUUUUAUUAUUCAUUCUACUUUUUUUUAUUGUGGUGACAUUGAUAUUAAUUUUACUAGUGCGCUAAUACUUCUUUCAUGGACACAAACAUCAUAGUGGGACAUAGGAAUAUAAACCCUCUCUUAAAACUAUGAGGAAUUUAAACCAACCAUUGAAUAACUACUACUUUUUCAGACCAUAGCAGCUAUACUUGACUAACUACCUUUUGACCAUUCAGUGACUUACUCUUGACUGUGGAAAGAAACUACAAUUAUACACUACGUCAAACUACUAUUAGGUCAAAACUACUCUUGGGACAAAGCUAUUCAGGACUUACUUAACUGUGAAAGAAAACCACGAGACAAAACUACUCCUAAAACUAUGACAAAACUAUUCCUAAAACUAUGGCAAAACUACUCUUGGGACAAACCUACCCUCACUUAUUCUUUACUAUGAAAAGGAAAUUAGCUACUAUUCAAACCAUGUCAAAACUACACUUAGCUACAUUUAACUAUUAUAGGACUGGACUACUACUACUACUACUACUACUACUAUCGUCAGCUCUUCAAAAGGUCUUGGUAUGCAAAACAGUGUUGCCACCACAAAAAAACGAGCCUUCAGUCCUAUGGGGGAAAGUCUAUGAGCGUAAAAAGGCAUUGGCAACAGCAGCAGAAGCACGAUCAGAAAAACAGUUCUCUAAAAAAUCAUCACCAACAGAAAAACUUCAUAAAAAAACAGUCCUUUGGGUAAGCUUGUAAAAAAACACGCUAUAUAAAACACAAUACUAUUUCAACAACACAAGAAUAAAAAUAAAUGGUUCUCUAAUUAAAAAAGAAAACACUAAUAACAGAUUUUAACUUCCAAUAGACAAACUUCAUAAAAAAACAGUCCUUUGGGUAAGCUUGUAAAAAAAAACACGCUAUAUAAAACACAACACUAUUUCAACAACACAAGAAUAAAAAUAAAUGGUUCUCUAAUUAAAAAAGAAAACACUAAUAACAGAUUUUAACUUCCAAUAGACAAACUUCAUAAAAAAACAGUCCUUUGGGUAAGCUUGUAAAAAAACACGCUAUAUAAAACACAAUACUAUUUCAGCAACACAAGAAUCUCUCUCUCUCUCUCUCUCUCUCUCUCUCUCUCUCUCUCUCUCUCUCUCUCUCUCUCUCUCUCUCUCUCUCUCUCUCUCUCUCUCUCUCUCUCUCUCUCUCUCUCUCUCUCUCUCUCUCUCUCUCUCUCUCUCUCUCUAAUAAAGGAAAACUCUACUAACAGACUUCAACUUCCAACAGAUAUAUACGUAAGUCACUAAAAACACAGUCAUUUGAGGAAGC